GAUGAACGCUGGCGGCGUGCCUAAUACAUGCAAGUCGAGCGAACGGACGAGAAGCUUGCUUCUCUGAUGUUAGCGGCGGACGGGUGAGUAACACGUGGAUAACCUACCUAUAAGACUGGGAUAACUUCGGGAAACCGUAGCUAAUACCGGAUAAUAUUUUGAACCGCAUGGUUCAAAAGUGAAAGACGGUCUUGCUGUCACUUAUAGAUGGAUCCGCGCUGCAUUAGCUAGUUGGUAAGGUAACGGCUUACCAAGGCAACGAUGCAUAGCCGACCUGAGAGGGUGAUCGGCCACACUGGAACUGAGACACGUUCCAGACUCCUACGGGAAGCAGCAGUAGGGAAUCUUCCGCAAUGGGCGAAAGCCUGACGGAGCAACGCCGCGUGAGUGAUGAAGGUCUUCGGAUCGGAAAACUCUGUUAUUAGGGAAGAACAUAUGUGUAAGUAACUGUGCACAUCUUGACGGUACCUAAUCAGAAAGCCACGGCUAACUACGUG
rnacentral:rRNA from 1 species